rnacentral:rRNA from 1 species
GAUGAACGCUAGCGGGAGGCCUAACACAUGCAAGCCGAGCGGUAGAGAUCUUUCGGGAUCUUGAGAGCGGCGUACGGGUGCGGAACACGUGUGCAACCUGCCUUUAUCUGGGGGAUAGCCUUUCGAAAGGAAGAUUAAUACCCCAUAAUAUGUUGGAUGGCAUCAUUCGACAUUGAAAACUCCGGUGGAUAGAGAUGGGCACGCGCAAGAUUAGAUAGUUGGUGAGGUAACGGCUCACCAAGUCUGCGAUCUUUAGGGGGCCUGAGAGGGUGAUCCCCCACACUGGUACUGAGACACGGACCAGACUCCUACGGGAGGCAGCAGUGAGGAAUAUUGGACAAUGGGUGAGAGCCUGAUCCAGCCAUCCCGCGUGAAGGACGACGGCCCUAUGGGUUGUAAACUUCUUUUGUAUAGGGAUAAACCUACUCUCGUGAGAGUAGCUGAAGGUACUAUACGAAUAAGCACCGGCUAACUCCGUGCCAGCAGCCGCGGUAAUACGGAGGGUGCAAGCGUUAUCCGGAUUUAUUGGGUUUAAAGGGUCCGUAGGCGGAUCUGUAAGUCAGUGGUGAAAUCUCACAGCUUAACUGUGAAACUGCCAUUGAUACUGCAGGUCUUGAGUGUUGUUGAAGUAGCUGGAAUAAGUAGUGUAGCGGUGAAAUGCAUAGAUAUUACUUAGAACACCAAUUGCGAAGGCAGGUUACUAAGCAACAACUGACGCUGAUGGACGAAAGCGUGGGGAGCGAACAGGAUUAGAUACCCUGGUAGUCCACGCCGUAAACGAUGCUAACUCGUUUUUGGGCUUUCGGGUUCAGAGACUAAGCGAAAGUGAUAAGUUAGCCACCUGGGGAGUACGAACGCAAGUUUGAAACUCAAAGGAAUUGACGGGGGCCCGCACAAGCGGUGGAUUAUGUGGUUUAAUUCGAUGAUACGCGAGGAACCUUACCAAGGCUUAAAUGGGAAAUGACAGGUUUAGAAAUAGACUUCUCUUCGGACAUUUUUCAAGGUGCUGCAUGGUUGUCGUCAGCUCGUGCCGUGAGGUGUUAGGUUAAGUCCUGCAACGAGCGCAACCCCUGUCACUAGUUGCCAUCAUUAAGUUGGGGGCUCUAGUGAGACUGCCUACGCAAGUAGAGAGGAAGGUGGGGAUGACGUCAAAUCAUCACGGCCCUUACGCCUUGGGCCACACACGUAAUACAAUGGCCGGUACAGAGGGCAGCUACACAGCGAUGUGAUGCAAAUCUCGAAAGCCGGUCUCAGUUCGGAUUGGAGUCUGCAACUCGACUCUAUGAAGCUGGAAUCGCUAGUAAUCGCGCAUCAGCCAUGGCGCGGUGAAUACGUUCCCGGGCCU